rnacentral:rRNA from 1 species
ACGAACGCUGGCGGCGUGCUUAACACAUGCCAGUCGAACGGUGAAGCGCCUUCCUUUUUGGUGGGUGUGGAUGAGUGGCGAACGGGUGAGUAACACGUGAGUAACCUGCCCCCUUCUUCUGGAUAACCGCAUGAAAGUGUGGCUAAUACGGGAUAUUCUGGGUCUGUCGCAUGAUGGGUCUGGGAAAGAUAUUGUUUCGGUGGGGGAUGGGCUCGCGGCCUAUCAGCUUGUUGGUGGGGUGAUGGGCUACCAAGGCGGUGACGGGUAGCCGGCCUGAGAGGGUGGACGGUCACACUGGGACUGAGACACGGCCCAGACUCCUACGGGAGGCAGCAGUGGGGAAUAUUGCACAAUGGGCGCAAGCCUGAUGCAGCGACGCCGCGUGAGGGAUGGAGGCCUUCGGGUUGUGAACCUCUUUCGCCAGUGAAGCAGGCCUGCCUCGUUUGUGGGUGGGUUGACGGUAGCUGGAUAAGAAGCGCCGGCUAACUACGUG